GAAAGAUGAUAUUAAAAAGGAUGUUGAAAUGACAGGCAUAUAAAAAGGGGAUGAGAGAAAGAACCAGUCAAGAUCCUCAAAGCUUAGGCACUAUGUAUUAGUAGCAGUAGUAGUAAUUUAUUAUGUGAUGAUUGAUUUACAUUAUACAGAUUUUAAUUUCUAUAAUAAUAAUAUCGAUAAUAAUUAAUUAUAAUAUUUAAGAGUAUGAAGAAAAAAUAGUAGUAUUAUUUCAAUUAAAAUUUCUUUAGCUUUUAAUAUUUUUUAGAGAGAGAAGCUGCAUUGAAAGCAGAAGAACAAAGAGCAUUAGAAGAAGCACGAAAAAUAAAAAAAGCAGAAAGAGAAAAAAGAAAGGCAGAAUUAAGAGAGCAAAGAUUAAGACAACAGCAACAAGAAAAAGAGCAAAACAAUGAAAAAGAAGAUACUUCAGAAAAAGAAGGUGCAGAAUUAAAUGGUAUUAUAUAUAAUCAACAAGCAAAUAAGAAAUCAGGUUCUUGGAUAUCUUGUUUUAUGACACUGAUUCUCAUACCAUUGGCUGUAGUUGGUGCAAUAGUUGGGUACCAUGUGUACAUUGGAAAUAAAGUGGAAAGUUAUGAUGACGUUUUUCAUAUAUUAGAAGAUACAUGGAAAAUAAUAAAUAAACAGACAUUGAUAAUGAUUGAUGUUAUUAAAUUACACAUGUUAGAAAGCAAAAAUGUGAUAUUGACUUGGACUGAGGAAGUAAUUUCUUCUUUUUAUAAAGAUACAUGAAUAAAAAAUAUUUACUUUAAUUCUUUAAAAUAAUGAUAUUUUUUUAAAUAAAUACUGACUACAAAUUUGUUAUAAAUGGGUAAAAUUGUUAAAUUUUUAUUUUGUAAUACUUAUGGUGUUUUUUCUAUUAUAUUUAUUCAUUGGAAAUUCCUUUAAAAAUAAUGAGAAAUCAACAAUUGGUAUAAUACUGUCUAUUAUUAGAAUUCUAUACCAAUUGUUUUUUAGUACUAUUCAAAAGUCAGAUUUAAGCAAAAUUAUAGUAAAAGAAUAAAUAUCUCUUAAAUAUAUUAUCUUAUACUAUAAUUCUUAAUAAUGUUUCAAAUAACUGAAACCUUAAUAACUAUAAACUAAAAACAUGAAAUAGAUAGAAAAGUUUGAUGAUAAUGAUUUGAUAAAAUAGGAUAUUUUAUAAUUAAUUAAUUAUAUCACAUCUUUUCAAAUAUAUGUAUAAAAAUAAGUUAUUCGUAACACAAUAAUAACUUUCGAAUAACAAUACAAAAUCCAAAAAUUAAUAAUAGAGAGGUUGCAGCCAAUGUUUUCAAUGCAAAAACGUGUAAGUUGGACAUUCAGCACCACCUUCCUGUAUGCCUAGAAGUUUGACAAUGGCAUUUGGAACGUCAGUGGAAUCAUGCUCAAUGUUCCAAAUGCCAUUGUCAAACUUACAGGCUUACGGGAAGGCAGCGCUGACCAUCUGAUGUACUGUACAUGUUUUCCUAUUGAAAACUUUACCCGCAACCUCUCUAUUAUAUAUUUAUAAAAUUAAUGUGUAAAAGGAAAACUAAUUUAUAAUUUGAAUUAUUAUUAACAAAAAAUUAGCUAAUGAAUUUAUUAAAUACAAUUAAGCUUUUCUUAUUAGAAGGUAACUCAAAAAGAUAUUUCUUUGUCUAGAUAAUUUUUUUCUUCAAGAAAAAUUUUAUGAAAGAUUUAAGAAUUAUAUUUAAGCCUGAUUAAUGCAUAUUUUAUUUAUAAAUGUUUGGUUCUAAAAUACAUCAUUAUAACAACAUUUCCAAAAAACAGUAGUUUUCCACUAUUACAAAAACAUGUUUACUAGAUGAUGUAUAAAGAAAAGGCAUCUCAGCUUAUAAAAAUGUGCAAUUAGUGAGCCAAUAAAUAAUAAAUAAAUUAGUGUAAUCUUUAUUGUGUGUAGUAUUUUUUGCAUUAUAGGUAUCUUAUUUUACAACAUUCUAUUAUUUGACAUCUUAUUAAAGAAUUAUUUCUUAAAGCCAAACAAUUACUGAAUUAUAUCAGGAUACAUUACUAAUACUGUUAUUAAUUAAAUGCUAAAUAAUUGGUAUUAGAGGCAGACAUUAGGUGCCAUCUUUUGCUAAAUUUAAUUAAAUUUCUAUUUAAAAUUUAAUAAGUUUACAAUCACUUGAUUGAAAACAGAACAAUGCCUAUAUCAGUUUAUAGCAUUUUUCCAGAUAAAACCUACUAUUCGAGCAUAAUUUCAACACAAUUGCUCAAAGGAACUGUAUGAAGGUUACAGUGAAAUGUUCACCCAUUGUUGUCAUAGAAUUUUUUCUAUUUUAUAUUUCAUUAUUUUCAUAAAAAAUAAUGAAAAACCAUCAACAUAAGAGAUAAAAAGAUUGUGUUGUUAAGAUGUUAAGUUGUUAUAAAGCAAAUUAUGUCAUUUUAAUACGAUAUUGAUGUAAUUAUUUAAUAAUUAUAGAGAUUUUUAUAAUAGACUAAAUUAGUAAGUAAAUGUUAUCAUUGUUUAGUUUAUUAUUUCAUAUUAACAUAUUUUGAUGGAAAAUGGAUAAGAAGACCAGGUAAUAUUCAAAUUUCUUAUACAGUAAUACCCCGAACUUACAGCCUUUACUGAUAGGUGGGACCAAGCAUAAGUUGGGGUAUAAUUUCUCAUAUAAAUACAUACAAAUUAUUUUUAAUUGGGUCUGGAGACUAAAGAAAACAAUAAUUUAUAAAAAAAUGUUUCCAAAAGUCUUUAACAGAGAGCUUGUUGUUUUGUCUCAUAGCUUCAUGCAGAUGUGCAAACGAUCAUCUCAUGUAAUAAGCUUUGAAUGUUUUGAUGACUCCCUGAUCCAUCGGUUGAAACAAGCUGGUUGUAUUUGGUGGCAAAAAUACAACUUUCACACGUGGGUCAAAAUUAGUUAAAGUUGCAGGGGGGUGACUUGAUGCGUUGUCGAUUAUUAGCAUCACUUUAAAUGGAAUUUGUUUAGAUUGGCAAUAACGUUCAACUUCAGGUAUGAAGUGAUGACCAAACCAGUCCUGAAAAAGGAAAGCUGCCACCCAAGCUUUACGAUUCAACUUCCAAAUCACAGGCAAGCCAGCUUUUGAUUUAUUUUUCAAUUCUCUUGAAUUUUCUGAGCAAUAAACUAAGAGAGGUUUUAACUUCAAUCACCAGCUGCAUUCGCACCAACCAUCACUGUCAAUCGAUCUUUGGCAGCCUUAAAACCUGGAAAGGUUUUCUCUUCACGCAUGAUAAAAGUUCUUUUAGGCAUCUUCUUCCAGAACAGGCCAGUCUUAUCUAUGUUGAAUAUAGUUUGGCUGGAGUAGCCACCUUCAUCUAUCAAAGCUUUGAAUUUCUCUGGAUAGUAAGACGCAGCCUCUUUAUCAGCACUUGCCACCUCUCCACUUUCUGCAAUGCUAUGCCAAUUACAGCGACUUUUGAAUUGGCUGAACCAACCGUUACUAGCUUUAAACUCUUCAUCUUUAGCCACUUCUCCAGCAUCCUCUUUCAAUCUCUCAAAAACCAGCUUAGCUUGAGAGCACACUGUGUUCUGAUCAACAGGACAAUUUUUCACAUUUACUUGAUUAACACACUAUAAUUUUAACAGUUUCCAUCUCAGUGAUAAUGCCGUGAUGUUUACGAAUGAUGCUUAAUUUAAAGAUUGAGCAUUUUUCACAGCUUCGAGAAUAUUUUCUUUACCUUUUAUAAUUGUUCUGACCGUCGAUUCCGGUAGAUCAAAUUUCUUUGCCAAUUCACAAAUUUUCAUUUUUGUAUUGAAGUCUUUAAUAAUACUGUUAACUUUACAUUCCAAAGAUAAAGUUUUUCUUUUCUUGUUUGAUGCAUAAGAAUCUACUUCAUCUGGAUGACAUAUAGAGUCUCUCAAGUCUCUGUAGAUAUAACAAACACAGAAAUAAAUAACACAAAAUAAAUUGUAGCUAUACAUCAAUUCCGCGCGACAUGUCCAAACAUCUAAGCUGAACAAUAGUGUGGGGGAAUGAGUAAUCAAGAGUUGCGUAGCGCUCAAACAAAAGAUGAAUCUAUGAGAUUUGAAAAUCACAUAACUUUGGGUUCACGUAAGUUGA
rnacentral:lncRNA from 1 species